CCGGCCACGCUAACAGCUUGAAGGGAGUCAUCGCAUAUGCGACAUCGUUCUUCCAUCGUUCACGUGCCAUCGGGUCGGGGUAAUGACUGUAACUGAUGCCAAUAACCGAUGAUGUGCACGACAUGUGCAUCGACACAAUGCAGAAUUUACGUAAUCGUUUCUUCUGAAUUCUGCUGCGGACAUUCAACUACUGUAUCCUUUGUAUAGAGAGGACGUGUACAGUUCAGUCACUAUGGUCCACUUCGAAUGUAAGUAUAACAUUUUAUUUCGCUUUCGCAAUUUUGAUGCUACGUCGAUCGAGUUUUAUGAAUUCUUCUGCUCAAAAGUGAUACAACAAGUGAGUCUUUUUUACUUUAUGAGUCUCUAAAAAAGUAAAAAGCGAAAUUAAAAAUAUUACCAAUAUAUUUGUUCCCAACAAUAUUUAUUGAACAACCAUGAUUUGUAAUACAAAAAAUAAAAAAAUAAAAAAACUGAGACUUUCAGAAACUAUUAAAAUAUAUAAUGUAGAAUUUACUCAUUUUUAUGUAAACGAGUAUAUUAGAGCUUUGAUAAAAUAUAUAUUUGGUUUAUAAGCAAAUCAUAUCAUUUACUUGAAUAAAUCGAGUGAGAAAAUUCCCUGCGUUUUUGAUGAUAAAGUUUUUCCCUUAUAAGUAGCUGUAUAAUGACUAUAUCAUAAAACGAAAAAAGGUUAUGAUUUGCAAACUGCAAAAUGAUCUGUAAUUUUGAAAAAUAUUCAAUGAUCUAUUUUGUAAUAUUAAUUAAAAUAAUUAUAUGAUUUUUUUUUAAUAAUUGAUUAAAUUGAUUGAUUAAAUGCAAGCAUAAUAUAGUAUAAUAAAAAAUUAUUAUUGGAAAGGGAGAAAUUUCUGUCUUAAAAUUAAAUUAAAUACACCUGUUAAACAUACAUGCAAAGUAUGGAAGAUCAAAUAAACGAUCAAAAUGAUAUCAAAUUUAUCUACAAUAUCCUUGGCUAAAUUCAGAAGGAAACAACGCCUGUCGAUCGUGUGACCAUUUUAGUUCGUUUCCAAUAACCGUUUUUCUUCCCUCCGUGCAGGAAGGAAACCGCAACAGCUCUAUAUAGACAGAGCAUUUCCAGUUGACCACAGAGAUGCAUGCAAAUGCUCAAGAGGAAAACAUUGCUGUCAACAUUCUUCGUGGUUGUGCUGAAUAGUUAGAAAAAUAUAUAGACCGUAGCAAGCGACUUGCGUAUCAAACGGACAAAUCAACACGUAAGACAGCUUAAUGCUCUUUUAUUUUUUUCUCGAAUUUCUCAGUUAGUGUAACACUCUGUAAAAAUGAUGACGUCGCAGAGGAUAGAAGUAAUCUAAUUAUCAACGAUGCAGUAAAAAUUUGAAGAAUUUAUCUGAAAAAAGAAGACAAAUCUGACCAGAUUAUAGAGAUCAGCGAACUGAUGAAGGAUUAUGCGUCACAAGUAUGUAAAUAAUUCUACUGUAAGUAGUUCCAUAAAUACGUAAGUAAUCCUAUAUCCAGAGAUGUUUUUUCUUCUGAAUUUUAAAUAUAUUAUUUUAAUAAUAAUAAGCAAGUUCAAGUAUGUAUAUUGUUAAAAGAGAAAAUGGUAUUAUGGGCAUCCAUUUACAAUUUUAUUCAAUAACUUUGUUUUUUUUAUAAUUAAUACUGCAUAUUAAAACUUAACGAUUAUAUUCAUCAAAAUGUUGUUUAACAGAUUAUAGGUUCAAAGUUAUGAAAUAUUUAUUACUUUGGGCGUGAUUUACAAAAAUAUGACGACAUUGUAUCAUAGAUUAAAGAGGAGAUGACAAUGUAGACUACAAAAAUAAAUUUUAAAAAUUGACAAUGAAUGAUAUAAGGCUGAGAACGAGCUAUUCUUUCGUUUUUUGAAUUACAAUUUAUUGAAUCUUAACAACCAAGAUACAGUUAGCGGAACGUUUCAGACGUACUCUUACAAUUCAAUAGAGAGACUUGGAACAUCGAAAUGUUACUUCACAACGAACCAUGGAUUCAGAUUGUUCUCGAGUUGCAUCGACGAAUAAAACUAUGCUUAUUUUUAUAUAACGAGUAAAAAUCAGCAGUUAUGUGCUCAUGUAGAAAUUUAUAUUUAAGUAUAGUAAUUCGACAUUGGAAAUGUAAAUUAAUGCGGCUGAAGAAGGACAAGUAUUCAGUUCACGCCUUCUAUAUAUCCAUAUGUGUACGCAUUCUGCGUUUGUACACAUUCACGAUUUUCACGUUUCCAUACGUCUACUUGUCCACACUCUACGCAUUAGUAUAUUUUUAUUAAAAUUAAAUAUUUUCAUUCUUUACACUUAUCUCUCAAUUUAUUUUUAUGAUUAAAUUUUAUAUUCCAUUACAGUAUACUAUUUGGAUUAGAAAAAAAAUAUAUUUUAACAUUUUGCACAUUUAUGUUCUAAUGAAAAAGUGGUACGUUAUAAAAAUUUAUAAUAAUUCCAAAUAAUAGGAAUUGAAUAUAGCAUAUUUUUUACAUAUUUCAAUCCAUAAAUAAUAAUAUAAAUUCAGCUUCAAAAAGAAGGUAGUAAAUACUGCUCAAAAUUCUGAAUAAGUAAUUAUUUGCUAUUUUUUGAGUAUAUCUAAAUCCAAAAAAAGUUUUUCAGCGGAAAUGGACAAUGAAUGCAAUUCUGUUCAAAACUAUAAAUAGAAAUUUGGAUAGAAAAUGCAUUGCUUUAAUUUAAUCUAUUCAAAACCAAAUAAAGUUUUUUUUAAAAAAUGAAUAUCAGUUUUUGAAAGUUUGGAAAGUUAUAUAAAGAAAAUCGCGUGUUUUGCGUAACACUAUCCUCGCAUUUUACGGCGUUGAAUGUAAGCACGCAUCUCAUAUUUUCAUUCAUUUUUUAUCAGAACGUAUGUAUUUCACUAUGCACCUCAAUGUUGAAUAUUCUUGUAGUCUUGCGCAAUUGCAACCCUUAUGCACGAUUGGAAAUAACAGCGUUCGUUGUAGUUUAAAAACUCUAAUACGUGUCAUUCAUCUAAUAGCUUGAUGACAAAACAUAUGUCAGUUUCUCAGCCCAUUGGGUCUCGACCCUUAUAGGGUGGAAAUCAUUUUUGUGAUUAUAGACCACGUUCUGUAUUAUAUUUUAUUUCAUGUUAACAAACUUUAUAUCAUUUCAGCUAUGAAUGGUAUAGAUUACUGUUGAAACAUAAAAAUAUACAGCGUGGCUAAAUAGAUUGUUUUUUUAAAUGCUGUUCUCUGUGGACCGCAUUAAGGAACCUGGUUAGAGUAGUAUACAAAUAAUUUUGCAUAUCAAAGAAAUCUUUUUGUCAAAGCAGAUGUAAGGAUUAAUUUUAAGCAGAAAUAUAUUUAUUAAAUGCUUUUUACAAUAACAUUUUUUUGCUGAUAUUUUAUUGCACUGUAUUAUUUUACUUAUUAAGAAAAUUCAAAAUAAAAAUCUUUUUAAACAAUUCGCUAGUCUGCAAUAUUUUCUAAUGUAAGAGUGUCAAGUUUUUAAGUAAUAUAAAUUAAAACCAAAAUUAGUUAAUUAAGCUAAAAAUUCCACAUUGCUAUAAAUGCUUUUCUUAAAUAAUAUGUGAAAUGACUUAUAAAACAAAAGAAAUAUUUAUUAGUAACUAUUUGUUUUUCGUUUUUUAAUCAUAACACUUAAAACUGAUAAAUAAGACAAUGCAGUUUUUAGGAUAUCAGUAAAGGUAGCACGUGUGACGUAGAAAAACUUUCUUGCAGUCAAACGAAUGGGCAUGUUUGUUUUUAUCAUAAUAAACGCCAAGUCUUUUAUAUUGUUGGGUGAAAAAUCGCACCAGUUGCUGUCGUAAAUGCAAAUGACAAGGCCUCGCUUUGAUCCCUUAAAUUAUCGCCCGCGUACGAAUACAGGAAGCAUUGCAUCAACAAAACGAUCAACAUUACAAUGCUCUUCACCGUCAUAAUUGUAUCCUGAACGUGCCAGGAUACGAUAAAUCCAAAA